CGCCGUAAACGAUGGAUGCUAGCNGUNNGUGAGCUUGCUCAUCAGUGGCGCAGCUAACGCAUUAAGCAUCCCGCCUGGGGAGUACGGUCGCAAGAUUAAAACUCAAAGGAAUUGACGGGGGCCCGCACAAGCGGUGGAGCAUGUGGUUCAAUUCGACGCAACGCGAAGAACCUUACCAGCUUUUGACAUGUCCGGUAUGAGCAUCAGAGAUGAAGCUCUUCAGUUCGGCUGGCCGGAACACAGGCGCUGCAUGGCCGUCGUCAGCUCGUGUCGUGAGAUGUUGGGUUAAGUCCCGCAACGAGCGCAACCCUCGUCCCUAGUUGCCAUCAUUCAGUUGGGCACUCUAGGGGGACUGCCGGUGAUAAGCCGCGAGGAGGGUGGGGAUGACGUCAAGUCCUCAUGGCCCUUACAGGCUGGGCUACACACGUGCUACAAUGGCGGUGACAGUGGGAUGCGGAGGCGCAAGCCGGAGCUAAUCUCAAAAAGCCGUCUCAGUUCGGAUUGCACUCUGCAACUCGAGUGCAUGAAGUUGGAAUCGCUAGUAAUCGUGGAUCAGCACGCCACGGUGAGUACGUUCCCGGGCCUUGUACACACCGCCCGUCACACCAUGGGAGUUGGUUUUACCUUAAGACGGUUUGCU
rnacentral:rRNA from 1 species